GGUGGCCCUGGCUGCGCGUCUCGUCGCGGUCGGGAAUCGCCCGUGCGCUGCGCUCGCCCUGCGGAACGUGCAAAAGGGUCAAAACCCUAGCCGCCAGUUCUCGUCAAGCGCGCGGCCCCUCUGCCUCGUCUCCUCCCUACUCCCUCCUCUCUCACGACACUGCCCUCGAGCCCGCGCCGCCUCCAACUCGUCUCCUCCCCGCUCCCUCCUCUACAACGCAGCCGCCCUCGAUGCGCCGUAAGGAGCAGGGCAACGGAUUGGAUCGAGGGCGCCCUAGCCUCACCGCCGUUGCACUUGGAUUCGCUAGCCGCCGCGUCGAGUCACCUCCGUCCCCGCCGCGAGUCAGCUCCACCGUUGCCGCCAGGAAUCCCUUCCCGACAAGGAAAAUUCCUAGGGAUUUUAUUGAUGGAGGCAUCACUAUUUGGCGCUGGAUUAUCCAUUUUUGCAGCACCAGCAAUGUUGUUUUUGUUUGGAAUGGCCAGUUCUCAAUUUCUAAAUCGGCUAUACUAUACUUCUUGUGAGGUUACAUUAUCUUGCUUGGUUUCAGUCUAUAUGUAGCACAAAAAUAGGUGACAUGGUUGGUUUGUAUGUUACACUAAGGAAUACCACCAUAAGGAUAAGGGCAUUGCACUUCUUUGUUUAUAUUUGGUCUGUUCCUAUUCGAUUUGUUGUAGUACUUAAUUGCUACACCAUUUCAAGUUUCUUACUAUUUUCUUCUUGUUGUUUCAUUGUAUUCAGUUAUGAUAUAUUUUUCAACUAUACAAGCACUUGGGGAAGUCGGGAAAACUGAACCAAAGACACACUUUUACUGGUGAUGUUGGGGCUUUUUUUAACUGAGAUGUGAAAGAUGCAUCUUGUUAGGAAUAUGCAACUUGUAUUCCCAUGAGGCCAUAGGCCGAUAUAUAUACAUGUACAGAUGUGAAACAUAUGCAGGAAACCCCUUAUAUAACGGGAUAAAUACAAAGGGGUACAUGACUUAUAAUAUAACUCUAACACCCCCCUCAAACUCAUGGCGGAUGAACAACACUGAGUUUGGAGAGAUAAAAGCCAUGUUGUGCUCUAGUCUGGGCCUUCGUCAGGAAAUCCGCCAACUGUAACUCGGAAGGCACAUACUGAAGAGCAAUAACCUGAUCCUGCACACCAGCGCGUACAUAGAAAGCAUCGACACCAAUAUGCUUGGUGAGCUCAUGCUUCACAGGAUCACGCGCAAUGCUAAUAGCACCUGUACUGUCAGAUAAGAGCGGAGUCGGUGUAGUGACAGAAACACCAAAAUCCUGAAGUAACCACCGUAACCAAGUUACCUCUGCCGUCAAAAGAGCCAUUGCUCGCAACUCAGCCUCGGCACUCAAAUGGGAAACUGCAAUCUGUUUCUUCGUCUUCCAGGCAAUGAGAGAACCACCAAGAAAAACACAGUAAGCAGAAAGUGAACGGCGAUCUGAAGGAUCACUAGCCCACGUAGCAUCCGAAUAAGCCUGAAGCUGUAAAGAACUGGAGCGAGGAAAGAAUAGACGGUGAGAGAUUGUGCCCCGAAGAUAUCGGAGAACACGAAGGAGAUGACUAUAGUGGACCGAUGUGGGAGCGGAGACGAACUGACUCAGAAUAUGAACCGGAUAAGAGAUAUCCGGACGAGUGACAGCUAGAUAGACAAGACUGCCAACAAGAUGACGAUAACGCGUUGGGUCAGGGAGGGGAUCACCAUCAGUAGCAUGGAAGUGAACAUUGAGCUCCAUAGGAGUCUCAACAAUGCGUUCGUCAGUAAGAGCAGCACGAGUAAGAAGAUCUUGGAUAUACUUUUCCUGGGAUAUAAAAAAGCCAUCAGAGGUAGAAGAGACUUCAAUCCCAAGAAAGUAGCGAAGAGGGCCAAGAUCAGACAUAAGAAACUGCUCACUAAGACAGGCCUUUACAAAGGCAAUAUACUCGGGGUCAUCCCCAGUGAUGACCAUGUCAUCAACAUAGAGAAGAAGAAGAGUCCGACCACGAGGAGAAAGGUGAAUAAACAAUGCUGGAUCAUGAGCACUUGCUGAAAAACCAGCAGCAGUGACCACAAAGGCAAAACGCUCAAACCAGACACGGGGGGCUUGCUUAAGGCCAUAGAGAGAACGACGAAGACGACAGACCAUGCCAUCAGGAACAGAAUACCCAGGUGGUGGCUGCAUGUACACCUCCUCACGCAGCUCACCAUUAAGAAAAGCAUUCUUAACAUCAAGCUGAGAUAUAGACCAGUGGCGUGCAGAGGCAACGGCAAGAAGUGUACGAACAGUCGUCAUAUGUGCCACAAGAGCAAAAGUCUCGUCAUAAUCACGACCAUGCUCCUGCUGAAAACCAUGAGCCACAAGACGAGCUUUGUGGCGCUCAAGAGAACCAUUGGAGCGAGUCUUAACCUUGUAGACCCACUUACAAGUGAUGGGACGGACUCCGGGAGGAAGGGAAACAAGAUCCCAGGUACUAGUGCGUUCAAGAGCAGCAAUCUCCUCUGCCAUCGCAAACUGCCAUUCAGGAUGAAAAACAGCCUGACGAUAAGAAGUCGGCUCAAGAACAGCAGCACCAGCGGUGGGAAAUCCAAAGCGAUCAACAGGCGGACGAGGACGAGAACGCAAGCCAUAAGUAGGCUGAGAGGAAGAUGACGACACAUCCACGGAGGCAUCCACAGGACGUGAACGACGAGUGUAAUACUGAGGAAAAGAUGGAACAAUAGAAGGAGGAAUCGCCAAGGUAGAAUCGAGGGGUGGCGACGAAGAAGUCACCGGAGAUGAAGGUGUAGAAUCCGGUGACAUGCUAGACGAGGAGACCGUGGAAGAUGGUGGCAUCAAAUCGACUAGAGGUGGAGAAGCAGAGGGAGCGGAACGAAUAGGCACAGGCUCGACGGGGGUGAUAGGUGAGUCAGGAAAAGUGAGGAAAGAGAUAUCCUUCACUGAAAAGGUCGAGGAAGAUGGGCGUGGGUAGAAGGGACGAGACUCAUCAAAAGUCACAUCUCAAGAGAUACGCAUCCGACGACCGAUAGGAUCCCAACAACGAUAGCCCUUAUGCUCAUCACUGUAGCCUAAAAAGACACACUCAACAGACUGAGCGGUCAGUUUGGUGCGUUCGCGAGGGGCAAGAAGAACAUAGCAAACACAACCAAACAAGCGAAGCAUCGAAUAAUCGGGAGAACGAUCAAAAAGACGCUCGAAAGGAACACCACCCUAUAGAGCAGCAGAAGGCUGGAGAUUGAUAAGAUAGGUGGAGGUGGAGACGGCCUCAGCCCAAAAAUGAGGCGGGAGAGAGGCGGUAAUCAGCAAUGCACGAGCCAUCUCAAGAAGAUGACGAUGCUUUCGCUCAGCCACACCAUUCUGAGCAUGAGCACCAGGACAAGAGAAUUGAGAGAGAGUGCCUUCCUCAGCAAGAACACCACGCAACAUCUUAGAGAUAUACUCGCCAGCAGAGUCAGCACGAAGAACACGAAUGGGUGAAGAGAACUGAGUAUGAACCAUGGCAGCAAAACGCUUAUAUAUAGACAACACCUCACUAUGAGAAGUCAUGAAAUAAAGCCAUGUGUAACGAGAGAAGUCAUCUAUGAAAAUAAUAUAGUAUUUAUGACCACCUUUGGAAGCGAAAGGAGCCGGACCCCAUACAUCAGAAUGGACUAAAUCAAAAGGACGCUCAGACACUGACUCACUAUGUGAAUAUGGUAACUGAAUCUGCUUGCCAAGACGACAACCCUGACACUCUAAAGAGACAUCUCCUGAGACAGACCCCAGAAGGCCUCGACGAACUAAAGACGACAACCGAGAACCACACAGAUGACCAAGUCGAUGAUGCCACUGCUUGAAGGAACCAGUAACAGAGGCGACUGAAGCGGAGGAACUGGCGACAGUGGUGGCAGCAGAAGGAACAUGAAGCCAGUCCAACUCCCAAAGACCCUGAGAAUCACGGCGGCGAGGGCCAGCCCCAACCAGAGUGUGCGUGCGACGGUCCUGGACAGAACAAGAGUCAACGUCAAGGAUGACGCGACAACCAGAAUCAGUAAGUUGACCAGCAGAAAACAGAUUCAUGGUGAGUCGAGGAACAUGAGCAACAUCAGGAACAGAGUAAGGAGUGGUAAGAGUGCCUCUACUAACGACAGAAAGUGGAGUACCAUCAGCAGUGAGGACAUGAACAGGAGAAUCCAGCGAGCGAAGAGAGGACAAAAUGGAAGAAUGAGAAGACAUAUGAAAAGAAGCUCCAGAGUCCAGAACCCAUGGGGAUGUACCUGACUAUGUAGAGGGUGAUUGCUCAGUGCGGGAAGCAUCAGUCACAGAACCAGCAGUACCCGUCGAGGAAGAACCUGAAGCCGCGAGCAGACGCUUAAGUCUCAGAAUAUCCUGCUCAGUCAAAGUAAUGGCUGAAGCUGUUGAGGUAGAUGACGAAGUCCCUGAAGAUGAUUAUCGCGCCUUGCGCAGGUGUUUCUUCUUCGUGUAGCAUUGAGACUCAAGAUGACCAUCAUUGUUGCAGUAGUCGCAAUGUGGACGGGGGCGACCUGAGCCUCCAGAAGGAGUGGGCAAGAGCGGCGGAGCACUCGAGCGAGAAGGGGUCGGUGCAGCAGGUGGCGUAGGAGCACGAGUAGCGAGCACAGAGGGAACCUCCAGCAAACCAGCACCACGUAAGCGAGUCUCCUCAGCACGAAUCUCAGAAAGCGCCUCCAUGAGAGAAAUACGGCCACAAGCAAACAACUGAGCACGCCGGGGCUCAAACUCCUUACGGAGCCGAGACAGGAACUCAUAGACGCGAUGAAACUCCAAAUUGGCCUGGACAGCCUGGCAACAGGGGCAGGUACGACAACCAGCACUGCGGAGAGAAUCAAGCUGGCGCCAGAUAGCAGAACUCUGUGCAUAGAAGUCAUCAACAGUAGAGUCACCCUGCUGAAGAGCAUGCUCCUGACGGACCACAGAAAGGUAUAAGGCAUCACCAAAGGGCUGAUAGCGCUGACGAAGACGGGUCCACAUCUCAAAGACAGUAGGAAGACCCAGAAACUCAGAAGCAAACUGAGGCAGAACACUAGCAGUGACAACAGCAGUAGCACGAGCAUCAUCAUCAAGCCACUGGGUGUAAGCAGACAGAGCACCAUGAUAAAUCUGAAGAGCCUCCUCAUAAGCCAAAACCUUCUCAUCAUAAGCACGAUCAGCAGCCUCAUCAGCAAGCUUAGCCGCAUCCUUGGUGGCCUGAUUAGCAUCCGGAGCAAGAACCAGUGGAGUCGGCGGAGUAGGGGCCAUCGGAGGAACCGGACGUGGCGGACAGCAGACCUUGCCAGAAAGAACACCCCAGAGACGGAUGCCACGCAUGUGAAUGCGCAUAAAGCUAGUGAACUCGGUGUAGUUAGUACCAUCAAAAAUUACCGGACAGCGAGGGACAGCAACAUAGCCCGAUGCAGCAGACAUAUCUUUUUUUUUUAGCAGAGAUCCAAAAUCAGCAGAAUCCGACGAGAGCUCCGACGAGAGCAGCAGGGACGAGACCACCAGCUUCCAAUCGGCAAUAGGACGGGAUCGGGGGAGCAGCAGGCAGUCGAUCCAGACCAAGGGGCGACUGGCAGCUGGAGGCAGCGGCGGGAUCCAGCAGGGGCCUGUGCGAGUCGGGACAAGGGCGAGCUCAAACGGGAGCGUCCUUCUCGAUCGGGUGAAGGGCUGCGAGCGAUCGAUCGGGGGAGGGGCUGCGAGCGAUCCUUAUAGGAUCGAGAACGGGAGAGGAGGCCCGUUCCGAUCCAGGACGGGAUCCGAGCGGGACAAGGAGAUCGAGGCUGCGGCCUCUAUCGGGAGGAGAGACGGAUCAAUCGCACGAGUUGCAGCGUGCAAAAAAGUUAACCUAGCUCUAAUACCAUGUUAGGAAUAUGCAACUUGUAUUCCCAUGAGGCCAUAGGCCGAUAUAUAUACAUGUACAGAUGUGAAACAUAUGCAGGAAACCCCUUAUAUAACGGGAUAAAUACAAAGGGGUACAUGACUUAUAAUAUAACUCUAACACAUCUUAUCCCCUGAGAUAUAUUGCCUUUAAUCUCUUGAUUUUUUCCCUGACAUGCUAAUAUAGAGCUAGAUAUGCAUGAUUCAUCAUACACAUUACAGCCAAUUAUCCAUUGGUUCUUUUGUCCAUAGAGGUGAUUUUGUUUGGACCAUUAGUCUAGGUAGUGACAUUUUGAUCGAUAAGGCACAAGUUUAUUUUCUUUAUCACUCGGGCUACACUAAAGUAAGCAUAACCGUCAGUGAAAUGAAGGCAUACAAAUCAUGAAGUUUUUGCCUUGGCUGUGUGCCUUGUUUAGUUGUCACUUAUUUAUUUCUUGGAAGUUAUUCAAUUCUCAUUGAGCUUUCCUUAUGCUUUCCAUUGCUAAAGAAGAAAUUUAAAUACGCAAUAUUUUUAAUGUCUGAGGAGGCGAGAGGAGAUGAAAAAGGGCUGUAAGGUUGUACUUUGGUGCGUCUCUGUCCAAUGAUGGCUGGAUCCAUCUGACGCUCUUCCAAGCAGAGCAGUGCAGAUUUGCUGACUGAGCAGCGGAGAAACAUGUUUCUACAAAUGUGCCAAAACUGAUGGAUUUAACUACAGGAUGGAGCAGCAGGCAUAGAUGAAAUCUACUGCAAAUUUCUAUUGGUUGCGGCAUCUUCCGCUGAGUAUGAAGACUUGAAGAGUGGUCAUAAUGUUACUUAAAGGAGGCCUCAACUUGCACCAAAUGCAUGGGCAUGUGCAACAGCAACUUAUGUAGGUUUCUAAAAACCAAUAAAUGCUGCUCUCAAAUCAGUUAGGAGGCUGAAGGUAGUAGCUUACUGAACUCUCAUUUCUGGAAAAAUCUGGAGAUGUCUUGUUUGUACAAUCUCUAAAGAUGGUGCUCCAUUGUUCUGUUAAUCAAGAUUUGUUCCCUCCUUUCUUACUAGCUGAUACGUGAUGACCGUUUGCAUGGGGUUUAUGUUAGCUAUAUUCUAUUCAUGAUUCAAACUGUUUGUUGGGUAAUUUAGUUUAGACAUUGUGUCCUGAGAAUCUUGAUAUCUAGCUGUAUUGGUAUAGUAUAGUUUGUGAUUUUUCGCUCUGAAUUUAUAUAUCCACUCAGGUUGGGAUAGGUUACGAGUAUUCUUAGUGUGGAAACAGCGACAGUGCUGCACUUUCAUCAUAUGAUGAUAUGCCAACCUUGCGCCAUUUGGCUCUAUGUUACCUGAAUAAGAUAACAAAAUACACAUGCU
rnacentral:rRNA from 1 species